GGCAGCUGCAACUACAACAUCUGAUAAAAUUCUUCUAUUAUUUAUGCUUUGAUGGAUGUCCAUAUUAAACCAUAUUAAAGGUAUUGUGGUACUCAAAUCCAAGAACCAUAUGCUAAGGUAAUUUUCACUUAAUAAUAAUUUUGUGAAAUUAAUUGGAUAAAUAUAAGCACCAGCUUGUGUGGGAUAACAGGAAGAAAAUUUGAAAUACAUGGACAAAAUAAAUUUGACAAGUAAUGAGCUUGAGUAAACAUAAAUCUAAAAUUCUUUACGCGGCCAGCAGAUGAGGUUAACCUUGUAGAAUGGCUAAAGAUGAUGGUUGGUAACAGGCGCUCAGAAGAGGUUGGAGACCCAAAUAUAGAUAUGAAACCAGCUACACGUAAUCUGAAGAGAGCAAGUUGAGGAUGAAGAGAAACCUAUCUGGCAAAAUACAGCAGAAGCUUCAACUUAUAGCGAUGUGGAUUCAAAUAUAGAUAUGAAAGAGAAACCUAUCUGGCAAAAUACAGCAGAAGCUUCAACUUAUAGCGAUGUGGAUUCAAAUAUAGAUAUGAAACCAGCUACACGUAAUCUGAAGAGAGCAAGUUGAGGAUGAAGAGAAACCUAUCUGGCAAAAUACAGCAGAAGCUUCAGCUUCUAGAGAUGUGGAACAGGCAAAUGCUAGUGAGCAGAGAAAAAGGGGCAGGAAAUAAGAAGUCUGAUUUUGCAUUUUCUCUCAUUGGUUUAUGGAAUUUAUUCUUUUUAUAGGAUUUUCCACAAAAUGAUUGGUAAUAUAUAUUCUUUGGAUCCUAUUGUACAUCACAUGGGAGCUUCUCAAAAGUUUGCUGCACUGUAGGGAUUUUGCAUAAGGGACACUUUCAAGAAUUUAAAGGGUUCCCCUUCAGUUUGGAAGAUUGGGAACACCGAAUUCCAUGGAAAACUGUUGGAUUAGUGUAUCAGACAGUUCAAAGAAGAGUAUUCCUCAAGGCCUUAGUAUAUUGUCUAUUGUCUCUCUUCUGCUGCCGAUAUUUGUUCUGGGUAUGACUGCUACGCAAACUUAUUUUGGAUCGAAAGCUAACUGAAGUUAUGUUGCCGAUAUUUGUUCUGGGUAUGACUGCUACGCAAACUUAUUUUGGAUCGAAAGCUAACUGAAGUUAUGUCAUCUUAGAUAUAAAUCACAGAAUUUGUUUUUCAGAAUAUUACAAGAUGCUUAGCAUAAAAAUUUGUAUUGUCUGGAUCGAAAGCUAACUGAAGUUAUGUCAUCUUAGAUAUAAAUCACAGAAUUUGUUUUUCAGAAUA